rnacentral:tRNA from 1 species
GGAGCAGUGUCCGAGUGGCUGAAGGGACCGCACUGGAAAUGCGGUGUGCCCCAAAAGGGUACCGAGGGUUCGAAUCCCUCCUGCUCCG